rnacentral:lncRNA from 10 species
UACUUCUCCCAGCCAAUAAGUUGUAACUGGGGAACUUUACUCUUUUCACAUGCCUUUCUAAUUAUGCCUGAAAGCCCCACUCCUUUGUUAGAGAGGACAUUCUAGCAAAAGCAGGGGCCAUUAGACACCUGAACAUAGGAGAAGGAACGAGAAGACUAGCAACUAGAUUUUACCCACAUGCCCAAAUCUCAGAGAUUUCAGUAUCUACUAAUCUGGGUACUUUCACUGGUUGGGUGGAGGCCUUCCCUUGUAGGACAGAAAAGGCCCAAGAGGUAAUAAAAGUACUAAUUCAUGAAAUAAUUCCCAGAUUCGGACUUCCCUGAGGUUUACAGAGUGACAAUGGCCCCAAUUUCAAGGCUGCAGUAACGCAGGGAGUAUCCCAGGCGUUAGGUAUACAAUAUCACUUACACUGUGCCUGGAGGCCACGAUCCUCAGGAAAAGUUGAGAAAAUGAAUGAAACACUCAAACGACAUCUAAAAAAGCUAACCCAAGAAACCCACCUUGCAUGGCCUGCUCUGUUGCCUAUAGCCUUACUAAGAAUCCGAAACUGUC